GUGCUUGCUUUGGCAGCACAUAUACCAAAACUGAAAUGAUACAGAUAAGAUUAGCA
rnacentral:snRNA from 1 species